CCACAGCUCUGCAGGCAAAGAGCAGAAGAACAUACCCGUGACCUGAGAAGCUGGCCAGAGGAGCAGAGGGGGGCUGCCAGGAGGACCCAGCUGCAGUCCCUGCAGGAGCCGGCUGCGGGGAGGACAAGGCUGCAUGGACAGGAGGCUAGAACGAGAGAGGAUGUUUCUGGGGCCUGGCCGGCCCAGCUGAUGAAGACGGCUGAUGGCGGUGUCCAUCUGUGAGGUGGAAAGACAGCAGGGGUCCGGAGGGACACAGCUGUCCUGGGCCUUGUCGCUUGCAGGACCUGUUGCCACUGAUGAUGCUGAGAUGCUGGCAGAGAUCAGACUGCAUGGCCUCCCCUGGAAGGCAUGCAUCUCUCACCUCCCACCAUCAUGGGUCAGAAUCCCAGCAGAUGUCGUGGGAGCAGACGUCUUGGACAGAAGUGCAGUGGCGUGUGUCCAGGGCCCAGUCCUCUGGGAGCUGCCCACCCCGCUUGGGAGCAGAGCCCCCAGCCCUGAAAUCGCUGGGCCAGGGCCAGGCGGGGCGAAUCCCCUCUACCCAGUCGGGUACCAGUGCCCUGGGCGCCCCCAUCAAGGACACCAGGGUUUGCACGACAGGGUAGGAGAAGAGGAAUGCGUUUGGUUGCUG
ensembl:lncRNA